AAUGAACGUUGGCGGCGUGGAUUAGGCAUGCAAGUCGAGCGAGAAGUCUCCCUUCGGGGAGAUGGACAGCGGCAAACGGGGUAGUAAUGCGUAGGUGACGUACCCUGGAGACCGGGAUAGCCGCGGGAAACUGCGGGUAAUACCGGAUGAUCUCUCGAUCCGUGAUUGGUUUGGGAGCAAAUGGUGUGAUUCCGCUCUGGGAGCGGCUUACGUGGUACUAGGUUGUUGGUGGGGUAACGGCCCACCAAGCCUUCGAUGCCUAGGGGGUGUGAGAGCAUGGCCCCCACCACUGGGACUGAGACACUGCCCAGACACCUACGGGUGGCUGCAGUCGAGAAUCUUCGGCAAUGGGCGCAAGCCUGACCGAGCGACGCCGCGUGCGGGAUGAAGGCCCUUGGGUUGUAAACCGCUGUCAGAGGGGAUGAAAUGCGGGAGAGCUAUCUCUCCCGUUUGACAGAGCCUCAAAGGAAGCACGGGCUAAGUACGUGCCAGCCGCCGCCGUAACAC
rnacentral:rRNA from 1 species